AGGACCAGAACUUUACAGAGGUAAACUGUGUCUGUUCUUUUUACUAUUACAGUUCAUCGUGGCCCUGUCGUUCUCCUCCUUCACCAAAUCUCUGUCAGGGACCUACAUGAAGAGUGCCAUCACUCAGAGAAACACUUUGACCUGUCCAGCUCUCUCAUCGGACUCAUAGACGGCAGCUUUGAGAUGGGUAACCUGCUGUUCCUGGCUGUGGUCAGCCAUUUGGGGGCGAAGCUGCACCGGCCCAGGCUCAUUGCUAUGGGCUGUUUCCUCAUGGCUGUAGGAUCCUUCCUCACAGGCCUGCCACACUUCUUCAUGGGACGGUAAAACAACUGAAAUUAAACUUGUACUUGUAGAGAUACUCCAAUGCGGAGGAUAGUUUCACUUUAGAAAUAAAGAAAUGUAUCCAGUUUUUGAUUAAUCUCAGUUAACUUUGAACUAAAGUCUUGCGUAAUUGGUCAGCUGCUUGAUUAUGUUUUGGGGCCAUACAUGUUAAGAGAAGGGAUUAAGAGAUGCUAUAACUGAAGUGGUAAGGUUGGACCCAGGUGCAGAGAAGAGACCAGAAGAUGAAGCAGUGGUUCCAACCAGUGUCUCCACUGCUCAAGGGCCCACUUAACUGCCAAAAGCUCCCAGUUGUAUACAUCGUAGUUGCCUUCCGCUGGCGAGACCUGCUUGGAGUGAAAGGAGCAUGGGUGCAGUUUCUUGUCCUCCUUGUUCCACUGUGAAAGGACCACACCAGCUCCGGUGUCCGGGGCUUCCACCUCUACCAAAGGUUCUCCAGAGGGUAGUGAGGUCUGCACAACGCAUCACCGGGGGCAAACUACCUGCCCUCCAGGACACCUACACCACCCGAUGUUACAGGAAGGCCAUAAAGAUCAUCAAGGACAUCAACCACC